rnacentral:rRNA from 1 species
GACGAACNCUGGCGGCGUGCCUAACACAUGCAAGUCGAACGGGACUUAAUGGAACGAAGCUUCGGCAGAGGGAAGUUAAGUUUAGUGGCGAACGGGUGAGUAACGCGUGAGGAACCUGCCUUUCAGUGGGGGACAACAGUUGGAAACGACUGCUAAUACCGCAUAAUGUGUCUUGGGGGCAUCCCUGAGAUACCAAAGCUUUAUGUGCUGAAAGAUGGCCUCGCGUCUGAUUAGAUAGUUGGUGGGGUAACGGCCCACCAAGUCAACGAUCAGUAGCCGGUCUGAGAGGAUGAACGGCCACAUUGGGACUGAGAUACGGCCCAGACUCCUACGGGAGGCAGCAGUGGGGAAUAUUGGGCAAUGGGGGAAACCCUGACCCAGCAAACGCCGCGUGAAGGAAGAAGGCCUUCGGGUUGGUAAACUUACUUUUAGUAGGGACGAAGAACGUGACGGUACC